AUCGCCGAGCGCAUGCCGCAGACGCAUAUACAGAUCGCGUCAUCGCCAAGCGCCGGAUCGGACAAUAACCAACAGCGAUUCAACCGAUCCAAGGCCAAAAUCGCGGGAGAUCACCGGCGAUUGCAGGAGAUCAUGCUGAUUUAGGCUAAAAUUUUGAUGCAAAUUUGGCUGACGCAAUUUCCUUUCUCCGGCCAUUUUAAUAGUGGGUUGUCCAUGAGAGUGCUGCAUGGUGUUGGAUCUGGGAUACGUCAGAGAAGUUGGCCUGUGCCCAAGCCAUACUGGUACCGUGGUUUACUUGAUGUGGAUAUGUAUGAUCUGCCCCCACGGGUUGGAAGACAACUCCAAUAGAAGUCAUGGUGCUGGAGUGUUGGAAUGCUAUUCUCUGUAUGUCCUUGUGCUAAUUUCUGAUGGACUGUAGUGCUAUUUAUUGUGGGGGCUGUUCUUGUUCUGUUCAUCUUCUACUAAUGGACCUGUAAUGUGUAUGUUGUCUAUUCUGUGCUUAUAUAUAAGAUGUACAAAGUGGCUAAGCUGCAACGCCGUGCAUUCCCAGCGCUUUGCGAUGGUUCUCCUCUUGAUGGACAUGUGUUCCCAGUUUUUUUUCUUGGUUCA